rnacentral:ncRNA from 1 species
AUAAAUUAGUUUUAUUUUUGUUAAAAAAUUUAAUUAAAUAAAAUUUUACAUAUAAAAAUUUUUGGAAAAUUUUUUAUUUUAGAUAAAUAAAUUUUAAUUUAAAGUAUUGUUUAAUUUUAAAUAGUAGUAAUUAAUAUUAUUAUUUUAAUUUAUGUUAAAUUGUAGUUAUUAUUUAAAAAUAUUGAUUAAAUUUGUGCCAGCAAUCGCGGUUACACAAAUAAUAUAAUUAAAUUUAUUUUAAUAUAAGUAAAAAAUAUUAAUUUAUAAAUUUUUAUAUUUAUAAUAAAUUUAAAGAUAAAUUUUUAAGUGAAAUUUAAAUUUUAUUAAUAAUUUUAUAAAAAAAAUUUUUUGAGUCUUUGAAAAUUUAAUUAUAAACUAGGAUUAGAUACCCUAUUAUUUAAAUUGUAAAAUUUAAUAGAUUAAGGUAGUAUUAAUUAAUUUUUUAAAACUUAAAAAAUUUGGCGGUAUUUUAUUCUGUUUAGAGGAAUUUGUUUUGUAAUCGAUAAUCCACGUAUAUUUUACUUUUUUUUGUUUGCAGCUUAUAUAUCGUUGUCAUCAGAAUAUUUUAAAAGAAAAAAUAAUUUUCUUAAUUUUUAAUUAAAAUUUAUGUCAAAUCAAGGUAUAGUUUAUAAAAAUGUAAUAAUGAAUUACAAUAAAGUUUAUUUAUUAUGGAUAAUAAAAUUAAAUAUUAAUAUUUGAAAGUGGAUUUAAAAGUAAAUUAAUUUAUAAAAAUUAAUUGAUUAAAGUUUUAAAAUAUGCACAUAUCGCCCGUCGCUCUCGUUAUUUAAUUAAUUUUAAAUGAGAUAAGUCGUAACAUAGUAGAUGUAUCGGAAGAUGUUUCUAGAAAUA